CUCAAGCCACAAUUUAUCUUUGCUUUGUUCUUUGCUCUACGUAAUCUUUGUAUGUGCUCCUUCGCAGGCUGAAUUACCUGAACCGGACUUUGCCCUCAGCAUUGUGUGUUGUUUUGGAUUUUUGACAUCUGGAGAUGAGAUCACCAGCUUCAUGGAAGAGACCCAAGUUUCCUGUUUCUUCAGCGGACACAACUGGCUGGUAGCUUCCUGAUUCCAUCAUUCUUCGGACCUCCUCAAGUGAACCCUGUCCACCCUCCACCUACUGCAGCACCACCACCAGUAUCAAACAGCUUGUAUCAAGGACUCACCUUCUCAGGUCUUACCGGUGCACAACUUCUUGGUCUCUCCCCCCUCCUGGCGGAUCUCACCACUAUUCUAUUGGUAUCCCGGUUCCGGUUCCCUGCACCUUCUUGUUUCCUGUAAAUAAAAUCCUUGCCAUAA